rnacentral:rRNA from 1 species
GACGAACCGUGCGAACGUUGUUCGGAAUCACUGGGCUUAAAGGGCGCGUAGGCGGGCGAUCAAGUCAGGGGUGAAGGCCCCCAGCUCAACUGGGGAAGUGCCUCUGAUACUGGUAGUCUCGAGGGAGGUAGGGGCGUGCGGAACUUCCGGUGGAGCGGUGAAAUGCGCAGAUAUCAGGAGGAACACCGGUGGCGAAGGCGGGAUCCUGGGCCAGUACUGACGCUGAGGAGCGAAAGCGUGGGGAGCAAACAGG